rnacentral:rRNA from 1 species
GAUGAACGCUGGCGGCGUGCCUAAUACAUGCAAGUCGAGCGAACGGACGAGAAGCUCGCGCCUCUGUUGUUAGCGGCGGACGGGCGAGUAACACGUGGAUAACCUACCUAUCAGACUGGGAUAACUUCGGGAACCCGGAGCUAAUACCGGCUAUUAUUUUGAACCGCAUGGUUCAUAAGUGAAAGACGGUCUUGCUGUCACUUAUAGAUGGAUCCGCGCUGCAUUAGCUAGUUGGUAAGGUAACGGCUUACCAAGGCAACGAUGCAUAGCCGACCUGAGAGGGUGAUCGGCCACACUGGAACUGAGACGCGGUCCAGACUACUACGGGAGGCAGCAGUAGGGAAUCUUCCGCAAGGGGCGAAAGCAUGACGGAGCAACGCCGCGUGAGUGAUGAAGGUCUUCGGAUCGUAAAACUAUGUUAUUAGGGAAGAACAUAUGUGUAAGUAACUGUGCACAUCUUGACGGUACCUAAUCAGAAAGCCACGGCUAACUACGUG